UGCGCAGGUGGGUUGGCAAGUUCGAUGUGAAAGCCCCGGGCUUAACCCGGGAAUGGCAUUGGAUACUGCUGAUCUGGAGGGUCGGAGGGGGGACUGGAAUUCUUGGUGUAGCAGUGAAAUGCGUAGAUAUCAAGAGGAACACCAGUGGCGAAGGCGAGUCCCUGGACGAUACCUGACACUGAGGCACGAAAGCAGGAGCAAACA
rnacentral:rRNA from 1 species